CCCUGUGUGGCGCAAAUAGUUAGGCAUUCAACUGCUAGCUGAAAGGUUGGUGGUUUGAGCCCACCCACAGGAA
rnacentral:tRNA from 1 species